AUUGAACGCUGGCGGCAUGCUUUACACAUGCAAGUCGAACGGUAACAGGUUAAGCUGACGAGUGGCGAACGGGUGAGUAAUGCAUCGGAACGUGCCCGAUCGUGGGGGAUAACGCAGCGAAAGCUGCGCUAAUACCGCAUACGAUCUGAGGAUGAAAGCGGGGGACCGUAAGGCCUCGCGCGAUCGGAGCGGCCGACGUCAGAUUAGGUAGUUGGUGGGGUAAAGGCCCACCAAGCCGACGAUCUGUAGCUGGUCUGAGAGGACGACCAGCCACACUGGGACUGAGAUACGGCCCAGACUCCGACGGGAGGCAGCAGUGGGGAAUUUUGGACAAUGGGCGAAAGCCUGAUCCAGCAAUGCCGCGUGCAGGAAGAAGGCCUUCGGGUUGUAAACUGCUUUUGUACGGAGCGAAAAGGUCCUUUCUAAUACAAGGGGCUCAUGACGGUACCGUAAGAAUAAGCACCGGCUAACUACGUGCCAGCCGCCGCAGUAA
rnacentral:rRNA from 1 species